GAUGAACGCUAGCUACAGGCUUAACACAUGCCAGUCGAGGGGAAACGGCAUUGAGUGCUUGCACUCUUUGGACGUCGACCGGCGCACGGGUGAGUAACGCGUAUCCAACCUUCCCAUUACUGUGGGAUAACCUGCCGAAAGGCAGACUAAUACCGCAUAGUCUUCGAUGACGGCAUCAGAUUUGAAGUAAAGAUUUAUCGGUAAUGGAUGGGGAUGCGUCUGAUUAGCUUGUUGGCGGGGUAACGGCCCACCAAGGCUACGAUCAGUAGGGGUUCUGAGAGGAAGGUCCCCCACAUUGGAACUGAGACACGGUCCAAACUCCUACGGGAGGCAGCAGUGAGGAAUAUUGGUCAAUGGACGGAAGUCUGAACCAGCCAAGUAGCGUGCAGGAUGACGGCCCUAUGGGUGGUAAACUGCUUUUGUAUGGGGAUAAAGUUAGGGACGUGUCCCUAUUUGCAGGUACCAUACGAAUAAGGACCGGCUAAUUCCGUG
rnacentral:rRNA from 1 species